rnacentral:rRNA from 1 species
CCUACGGGAGGCAGCAGUGAGGAAUAUUGGUCAAUGGGCGGGAGCCUGAACCACCCCCGUCGCUUGCGUUCCUCCUUUCCUCUUUCUUUUCCCCCUCUUUUUUCUUUUAACACAGGCGCCCACGGGUGGGCGGAUGAGUGUACCCGAAGAAAAAGCAUCGGCUAACUCCGUGCCAGCAGCCGCGGUAAUACGGAGGAUGCGAGCGUUAUCCGGAUUUAUUGGGUUUAAAGGGAGCGUAGAUGGGUUGUUAAGUCAGUUGUGAAAGUUUGCGGCUCAACCGUAAAAUUGCAAUUGAUACUGGCAGUCUUGAGUACAGUUGAGGUAGGCGGAAUUCGUGGUGUAGCGGUGAAAUGCUUAGAUAUCACGAAGAACUCCGAUUGCGAAGGCAGCUUACUAAACUGCCACUGACAUUGAUGCUCGAAAGUGUGGGUAUCAAACAGGAUUAGAGAAAAAGGUAGUC